CCUACGGGAGGCAGCAGUGGGGAAUAUUGGGCAAUGGGCGCAAGCCUGAUCCAGCAACGCCGCGUGAAGGAAGAAGGCUUUCGGGUUGUAAACCUCUUUUCUGAGGGACGAAGCAAGUGACGGUACCUCAGGAAUAAGCCACGGCUAACUACGUGCCAGCCGCCGCGGUAAUACGUAGGUGGCAAGCGUUAUCCGGACUGAUUGGGUGUAAAGGGCGUGUAGGCGGGAAAGCAAGUCAGAUGUGAAAACUCAGGGCUCAACCCUGAGCCUGCAUUUGAAACUGUUGUUAUUGAGUGCUGGAGGGGCAAUCGGAAUUCCGGGUGUAGCGGUGAAAUGCGUAGAUAUACGGAGGAACACCAGUGGCGAAGGCGGAUUGCUGGACAGUAACUGACGCUGAGGCGCGAAAGCGUGGGGAGCAAACAGGAUUAGAUACCCCUGUAGUC
rnacentral:rRNA from 1 species